UACGGGGGGUGCGAGCGUUGUCCGGAAUCACUGGGCGUAAAGGGCGCGUAGGUGGCCCGGUCAGUCUUUGGUGAAAGCGCGGGGCUCAACCCUGCGUCGGCCAGGGAUACUGCCGCGGCUCGAGCACUGUAGAGGCAGGCGGAAUUCCGGGUGUAGCGGUGGAAUGCGUAGAGAUCCGGAAGAACACCGGUGGCGAAGGCGGCCUGCUGGGCAGUUUGGCUGACACUGAGGCGCGACAGCGUGGGGAGCAAACAGG
rnacentral:rRNA from 1 species